GGGUGGGUAUGGUUUCCCUCAUUAGAACGUAAGCAAGCUCCUUAAGGGCAGAAAUGUCUUUUGUCUUUGUAUCCCGGUCAGUGCCUGACAGUGGAUGUUUGCCUCCUUAUUUGAUUUGCUGUUCUGAGGAGCAAGCUAUUUCAGAGUACCAAAACAAUAAUAAAACUUUACCAAAAAAUUUCCUAACCCUAAUUUAAAUGUAUGUUGUAAGUGAAUAUCUUGGCAUAUUUGGGCAUCAAAAAACAAAAAGCACUCACAUAUAUACACUGUGUAGAUAUGGGUAGAUGUUUAAUGUUUGUUGAAUAAGCACGAGAAGUUAUCUAAGUAUAACCUGUGGUGCUGAUGUGGCAUCAUAAGUUACCUUUCAAAACCCAUGUAUAUUCACUUUGUCAAGUUAGCAAACAUUAAGGAUUAUGUUCAAAGAAAGUUAAUUUUGCUUGAUUCUGGGAAUAAAAAUACAAUCCCAAAAGAGAGACAACCAGUGCCUUUGAGGAAAUAUAAUGGUGGACAAUAACACAUAAAAGAAAACUGAAAAUUCAUCUUGGCUAAAUUGAGAACCAGAGCCUGAGGAGGAAUAAGACAUGAUUUACCUGAGCCUUUCCUCAAAGUGGAGGUUCUUGGAGAAACUCAUUAAUGAGAGAAGAGGACAAUAGGGAUGUAGGAUGUCUCAAAAUGACAAAGUUAAAAGGGUUGAGAGAACUCAGGAGAGAGUAUAAAGAUUAGACAAGUCAGAAGAUGAUGAAGAGGAAGGGUGAAUGGCCUCCUCCUUUCUUCAAAGAUUCUGGGAAAAAUUCCUUGAGGGAAACUCCAGAGCCAGGAGAGCAAAGGCAUUGAGGGGACUUUCAAGAUAAGGUAGUUGAGGCAUGGUGGCAGAGUCCAAAGGGUCAAUAGAAAUCUUGAUUAGUUCAAGAUACUUGUAAUGUUAAUUCUAAGAGGAAACUUAGAAGAGUGAAUUGAGUCUGUUAAUACAAAAGUUGAUAUAUGAUACCCUUCCACCAAAUUUACUUACCAAUUAACAUCAAGUACAUGGCAGGAUUUAUGACUAUAAAGAGGUGUAAGACAAAACUGUUUCCUAGCAACUGGAAAGAACAGAGAAGAUGGCUAAGCUAUUGCCAGUGAUCUUGAAAUAUGAAAAAGCCAAAAGUCCCAAUUACAGAAAGGGGAGCAUGAAUGUUACAAACUAUGUCAGGAAUCCUGACAGUUCUAUCAGUUUGUUCAACUUUCCGUUGUGUCCAUUUAUGUCUUAUUCUUAUGGUAUGCAGACCAGCCUAGGUUAUCAAAGGCCAUGAUGUCAGUACCAAUUGCUAGCUUGAAAAGCUAACCUGAAAAGCUUUGAUUAUUCAAGUUUGGAGAAGACUAAAGUUGACUACAAGUAUUGGAAGUUUUCUUCCACAGCAACUCAUGAAGUCAUAAAAUGCUGCAAUACUCCGCUCCCUUCAGCAAAUCAUGGGACAGCAAAACCAGCAAAAAGACAAAGUGAAACAAUCUUUGAACCCCCAAAACUUGGAAAAUGGGCAGAAAAGGUCUGUCUUAUUUGGCUAAAAGAAGAGUGCAGUUCAGGACCAGAAGACUCUCGGUAGCAAAUCCCACCUCAGCAAAACAGUGGAAGAUCCAGAGCCCCAGUGCAGUGGAGGGGAUAAACUUCAAUUGGAACCUCCAUUCCCAUCAUAUGCCUCAAAAUAGGGGAACAGUUAAGACUCCAGCUCUAAGAACCUCUAUUGUGAGUCACAAUAGCUGUGGACAAACAUACUAACCCUUAAGCAAAGAGCAAGCUACAGUACUUCAGUGUAGCCUUGGGUAAACAAGCAGCUGCUAGCUAUCUAGACCUCUGUGUGCUUCAUUUUAUCCUGGGGAAAACACAGAAACACCUUAAGGCCUCAGCACAUAUCAGAUACCAACUGUAGGAUCCCAGCUCAGCAGUAGAUAAGCUAUCAGACCUUUAUGACCUCCAGCAACUUCAGCCAAACCCCCCCCCCCCCCCACCCUACUUCCUCAGUAUAGUACCAGACAUGAGGGUUCCCCCAUGGGCCUCAGGGCAAAUUUAGUGCAGUACCAGAUAAAUAGCCAGGGCCUGCAUUCCCUAGCACAAGAAGAUUGAGAGUACUCUUUCUACUCUGGGAGCAGAGCUCAAAUUUAAAAGAAAAAGAUCCUCCCCAAAAAACAAAAGAAAGCCCCCAAAAGAAUCUAAUCAUAGAAAAUGAUUAUGAUAACAAGAAAGAUAAAGACAAACUCAGAAAAGGAUAAUGUCAAAAUAAUGUCAAAAUAACUACUGGCAAAACCCAAAGAAAAAUGGGAAGUGGUCUCAAGCCCAGAAGGAGUUCAUAGGAGAUCUUAGAAAGACAUUUAAAAAUCACAUAAGAAAGGUAGAAGAAAAAUUGAGGGGAAAAUAAGACUGAUGUGAGAGAAUUAUGAAAAAAAAGAUUGGAAAAAGAAAGCAAAAUUGCUUAAAAGAAUAGAAUUGGCCAAAUGGAAAAAGAGAUACAAAAGUCUACUAAAGAAAACAACUCCUUAAAAAGUGCAACUGGGGGCAACUAGUUGAUAUAGUAGAUAGAGCAUCAGCCCUGAAGUCAGGAGAAUCUGAGUUCAAAUCUGCCUCAGUCACUUACGUCCUGGCUAUGUGACUCUGGGCAAGUCACUUAACCCUAAUUACCUCAACUUAAAAAAAAAAAAAAUUAGGAGGAAAAAACAAGAGAAGGAUCCUUAGAGGUAGGAUAGGUAAAGUAAUAGCAGGGUAAGGUAGUGGGUAGAAGUAAAGUAGAGGAGUCGCAGGAACAGGAAAGAAAAGAUACACAGAAACAUAAUAAUGAUCAGGAGUAGAAUUUAUUGGGGAAAAAGUAAGGGUAAUAAUCAUUCAUCUCAGACAAAGUUAAAGUUAAAAUAGAUUCAAUCAAAAGAGAAAAAUUAGGGAAACUCUACUAUAUGUCAGCCAUAUUAGUUAAUAUUGUUUUAGACUAAAACAAUUAAAUAGUAUAAGGUUGGAAUAUUACUAUGGUAUAGGCAAUGAUGAAUUGAUGGAUUUAGGAAAAUAUGGAAAGAUUUGAACCUAAGAAGGAUGAUGUUAUCCACCUUCAAAGAAAGGGAAGACAAACAAGUGUAAAAUAAUAUUACAUAGAUGUAUAUGAAUAAAUAUAUGUAUGUGAUUAUAGAUAUAUAUAUAUAUAUUCAUGCAUGUGUAUAUGUGUGCGUGUGUGUAAAUAUAUCCAAGGGAUAGUCUACCUGUCCCAUCUAUGGGGAAAGGAAGAAAUCAUGACCCAAUAAGAGUAAAGAAUACAUAAAAUAUAAAAUACAGAAUUUUGAUCAUAUUAAAAUAAAAACUUUUUGUACAAACAAAGCUAAUACAACCAAGAUUAGAAGGAAAGCAGAAAGCUGAGAAACAAUAAAAACUAUCUAGUAUUAGAUUAUAGUAGCCUUGUGUUUGAUAAACCUAAAACUCUGGCUUUUGGGAUAAGGACACACUAUUUGACAAAAACCUGUGGGAAAACUGAAAAACAAUAGACACAAACUAGAUAUAUAUCAACAUCUUACACAGUCUACCAAGAUAAGGUCCAAAUGGGCACAUGAGUUCAAUAUAAAGGGGGAAAAUAAAGAAAUUAGAAGAGCAAAGAAUAGUCAGAAAUAGAAAGCAUUAUGAAAUAUAAAAUAGAUAAUUUUGUACAUGUUAAAUUAAUUGUACAAACAAAACCAAGUUUAGAAGAAAAUCAAAAAGUUGGGAAACAAUCUUUAUAGAAAGUGUCUCAGAUAAAGGCCUCAUUUCUCCAAUAUAUAGAGAACUGAGCCAAAAUUAUAAGCAAUUUCCCAAUAGAUAAAAAGUAAAAGGAUAUGAAUAGGCAGUUUCAGAUGAAGUUUUCACACCUAUCAGAUUGAUUAAUAUCCAAAAAAGGAAAAUGAUAAAUGUUGGAAAGGAUGUGGAAAAUUGGGAUGCUAUUGCAUUGUUGGUGGAGUUGUAAACUGAUCCAACUGUUCUAUAGAGCAGUUCCCCAUGCUCAAAGGGAAACCAAAUUGCACCCUCCUUUGAUUCAGAAAUAUCAUUCCUAGGUCUAUAUCUCAAAGAGAUCAUUAAAAAGGGGAAAAGGACCUAUGUGUGCAAAAAUAUUUAUAGUAGCCCUUUUCAUAGUGGCAAAAUCUUGAAAAACUAAGGAGAUGCUCAUUAAUUGGGCAAUUGCUAAAUAAUGUGUGGUGUUUGAAUAUAAUGGAAAACUAUUUUGCAAUAAAAAAUGAUAAAUAGGCAAAUUUCAGAGAAAUCUGGAGAGACUUGUGUGAACCAAUGCAAAGUAAAAUGUGUAGAACUAGGAAAACAUUAUAUAUUGUAUCAGGAAUAUUGUGACUCAGCUCUUUAUAACACAAAGGGCUCACAAAGGAAAAUACUAUCCAUAUCCAAUUAAAGAAUUAUGGACUCUGAAUGUAUAUUGAUGCAUAUUUAUUUUCACUUUGUUAUUUUUUGUUUUUCCCCCUUUUGAUUUAUUUUUUCUUUUACAACUGUAACUAAUAUGGAAAUAUGUUUUAUAUGAUAAUACAUGCAAAAAGUGAGGAAAGGAGAAAAAUUUGGAACUCAAAAUCUUGUAAAAAUGAAUGCUAAAGGGCAGCUAGGUGGCACAGUAGAUAGAGCACCAGCCCUGAAGUCAGGAGUACCUGAGUUCAAAUCUGGUCUCAGACACUUAACACUUCCUAGCUGUGUGAUCCUGGGCAAGUCACUUAAUCUCAAUUGUCUCAGCAGGAAAAAAAAAAAAAAGGUAAAAAAAUUAUCUUAACAUAUAAUUGGGGGGAAAUAUUAUAAAAAAAGAAAUGAGAGUUAUAACAGAAAGGAUUGGAAAGAAAUUGAACAGAUGGCACAAAAGAUGCAAAAACCUAACCAACCAACAAAUUUCCUAAAAACGACAGUGGAUCAAAUGGAAGCCAAUGACUCCAUGAGACAACAAGAAGCAUUAAAGUUAGAAGACUGAAAAAAAAUAAAAGAAGAUGUAAAACAUCUCAUAGCAAAAUCGAAGCAAAGAUAUGGAAAACACAUCAAGAAAAGAUAAUUUAAAAAUCAUUAGAUUACCUAAAAGCCAUAACCAAAAAAAGUCUAGAUACUACAUUUUAAAAAAUCAUAAAAGAAAAUUGUUCUUAUCUCUUAGAACCAGAGGACAAAGUAUAAAUAGAAAGAAUCCAUUAGUCACCUCCUAAAAGGAACCUCAAAAAAGAAAACUCCCCAAAUCCAGAUUGUUCAGAUCAAAGAAAAAAUACUCCAAUCAUCCAGAAAGAAAAAAUUCAAGUAUUGAGGGACCACAGUCAAGAUUACUCACAAUUUAUAACUACUACUCAAACUUCAGUCAGACAAAUAGUGUCUCUUAAGUGUCUACUAUGUACUUAAAACCCUGUGCAAAGUGCUGAAAAUACAAAGAAAGCCACCUCUUCCCUCCCCCCCCCCAAGUUUCUGCUCUCAAGAAGCUCCCAAUUUAAUGGAGGAAGAUAACAUUAAAACUAUUAUGUACAAAUUACACAUGUAUGCACACAAACACACACAUAUACACAUACACAUUGAGGAUAAUCUCAGAGGAAAGGUGCCAAGUUUAAGAAGGACUGGAAAAGGCUUAUUGUAGAAGGUAAGACUUUAAGACAUGAAGGAAACCCAAGAAUCUAGGAGGUAGAUAAGAGGAGGGAGAGCAUUCUAUAUUUUAGGAACAGCCAGUAAAAAUGCUUGGAGUUAGAAGAUAGUGGAUCGUAUACUAGGAAGAGUAAGAAUGCAAGUGUCAUUGGAUCACAGAAUAUAUGAAGGAGAAUAAGGUAUAUUGGGGGCAGCUAGAUGGCCCAGUGAAUUGAAUGUUAGGCUUGGCUUAAAGAAGACCUAAGUUCAAAUCUAGCCUCACACAAUUACUUGUUGUACAACCUUAGGCAAGUGACUUAACCUCUAUUUGUCUUAUUCUACUGGAGAAGGAAAUGGCAAAACACUGUAAUAACUUUGUAUCAAGACUUGAAAAAGUAGGAGAUGCCUAGGAUAUAAAAGAGCUUUAAAAGCCAAACAGUAUAUGAUAUGUAGUCAAUAGAAGCUGCUGAAAUGUGUUAAAUUGGGUAGAGGGUGAUAUGGUCAAACCUGAAUUUAGGAAACGCAUUUUGAUAGCCCAGUAAAAGAUUGGAGUGGAGAAAGACUUAACGGCAAGGAGACCAAUCAUCAGGCUGUUGCAUAUGUAGUUAGGAGUGAGGUUGGAAGAAGAGAAAAAGGAUCAUAUAGGAAAGAUGUUAUGAAGGUAGGAACAAGAAGACUUGGCCACUGAUUGAAUAUGUUGGUUGAGAUUAAAGAGUUGAGGAUGAUGCCUAGUUUAGGUGCCUGGGUAAUUGAGAAAAAGUGGCACAUUUGAUAGUAAUAGAGUUCGGAAAAGGAGUGGAUAUAAGGGAAAGAAUAAUGAGUUCAGUGUUAGAUAUAUUGAAUUUAAGAUGUCUAUGCAAUGUCCAGUUCAAGAUGUUACAUAGGCUGGAGAAGUAAGACUGGAGUUUAGAAGAGAAGUUAAAGCUGAACAAAUAGAUCAGACAAUCAUCUAUAGAGAUAGAGUUGAAACCAUGAGAGCUGGUGAAAUCAUGAAAUGAAAUAGUUGGAGGAACACAAGGAAUAGGAAGUUUAGAAUGAUAUAUUUCAGAAAACAAAAGAAUAUAAGCUCACAACUAAGAAUAACUUAACCGGUAAAACUGAGUAUAAUCUUAUGGGGGAAGAAGACAUCUUUAAGAAAAUGGAGGACAUCAAUGCAUUCCUGAUAAAAAGACCAGAGCUGCAUAAGAAUUUGAAGUGCAAGCACAAAAAUCAUGAGAAAUAUUAAAAGGUAAAUGUGAGACACUUGACCCACUCUCAGACACUAGCUGUGUGAUAAUUUCUAUGUUCUAAUACAGGAAGAUGCUAUUUGUCCCUUCUGAACUCCAUCAUCAGGAGUCAUAGAAGGAGUCUAAUUAGAAGACCCAAGAAUUAUGCUAUUUUUGUCUUGAUCUUAAAAGAAAAAUUGAAAAGGAGGAGAAGAGGAAUACAGGUGAGAGAGAUGAAGGAUAAAUCUCAUUUCAUCAGGGUAUAUGCAAGUAGAAAUCUGUACAAACAAGGAUGAAGGAGGAGUGGGGAGCAUGUGACACUUGAACUUCCCAUUUGAAUUAAUCAAAGGAAAAAACACACAUAUAUAUUUAGGCACAUUCAACAAGAGAAAUGAAGAAAA